rnacentral:rRNA from 1 species
GACAUGUCAAGAAUUCUGCAGAGAUGUGGAAGUGCUCGAAAGAGAACUUGAACACAGGUGCUGCAUGGCCGUCGUCAGCUCGUGUCGUGAGAUGUUGGGUUAAGUCCCGCAACGAGCGCAACCCUUGUCAUUAGUUGCUACGCAAGAGCACUCUAAUGAGACUGCCGGUGACAAACCGGAGGAAGGUGGGGAUGACGUCAGGUCCUCAUGGCCCUUAUGGGUAGGGCUACACACGUCAUACAAUGGCCGGUACAGAGGGCUGCCAACCCGCGAGGGGGAGCCAAUCCCAGAAAACCGGUCGUAGUCCGGAUCGUAGUCUGCAACUCGACUGCGUGAAGUCGGAAUCGCUAGUAAUCGCGGAUCAGCUUGCCGCGGUGAAUACGUUCCCGGGUCUUGUACACACCGCCCGUCACACCAUGGGA